rnacentral:lncRNA from 1 species
GUUUAUACAGAUUACGUAUUGGCCAUAAACAAUUUUUAUAAAGUCUUGAUAUAUAUGAUCACUUAAUAAUUUGGCUUACAAGUUUGGCAGUUAUUAAGAGCACACUGAGGACUACUUUUCCAGAAACUAUAAGCAAGUUACUGCACACUUCUCUUUCAAGAUUAGUAACAUUCCUGUCAUAUUUAAUUUCUUGGUCAGCUCUUCUUAGAAGUCUCCAGAGAAACACUGAAGGUUCAAAUACUGGAUCUGCUCUUACUAGCUGUAUCAUGUUGGGCAAGUUAAGAUGAAUUUUUCUGUGCUUAUUUCCUCAUUAGUAAAAUGAGAAUAACAGUAUCUACUUUAUAAAUUGAAGACUAAAUAAGUUAAUAUAUGUAAAAUGUUUAGAACAGUGCUUUGUAAAUAGGAAUUGCUAUUUAAGUGCUUGCUAUUAUUACUACUCCAAAAGAUGUACAUUUUACUGUUCAGAAUCUUGAUAGAGAGCCCUUUAAACGGUACCUAAAAGAGCCAAUUCCUUGUAAAUCAAAUAUCCACCUUAGUUGCUGUUCCUUCAGAAGAAUAUUUGUAUUCAAGAAAUGUUGCUCUGGUUUUAAAAGCAUUUAUAGUAUUCAAAUGCACACAUUGGCUGUUUGUUUUUGCCCAGCUCUCUGGUAGUAAGAAAUGUUCAUUUAGAUCAAAUCCUGAAAUGUUCCUUUUCAGUACUAUGCCCCAUCAUUAGGGCAAGCUGGUGCAGCAGCUCUAACACUUCCUAACUUGCCUUCUCCCAGACACUGGAGGGGCUCAAGCAAGGUACUCUAGGAUCCAUCACACUCUCUAUCUCAGUUUUACUCGUAGGAUUUUCUCCCUCAGUCAGUCACUCAACAAACUAAUUUUGAGCACCUUUAGCUAGUAGGUGUUUCAUGUUAAAUGUUAAAUUUACUGAUCUCAGAGCAACCCCAAGAAGACAGUGGCAUCUCCAUUUUAUUCACAGACUCUCACUGCUUAAGAAACUUGCUCACGGUCAUAGAGUGUCU